AUGCGGUAUGUGCAGCCUGUGAGUCCAAUUUUCUGCCACCGAAUACAUUAGCAUGGGAUAAUGGAAUAGGACCCUGUCCUCCUAUUUUCAGUUGGUUUGCCGCGAGGACCAGGGUAAUGAUUAAUAGGGAUAGUUGGGGGCAUUAAUAUUUAAUUGUCAGAGGUGAAAUUCUUGGAUUUAUCUUCUGCGAAAGCAUCUGCCAAGGAUGUUUUCAUUAAUCAAGAACGAAAGUUAGGGGAUCGAAGACGAUCAGAUACCGUCGUAGUCUUAACCAUAAACGAUGCCGACCAGCGAUUAGGAGACGUUGAAUACAAAACACCACCAUGCGCAUUGCGGUCGUCUUUGGUGUGUCGCUCACAAGGCGGCAUCAUCGGGACGGCUUAGCUCGCAUGGCACCGGUGAAUGACUCCCCUAGCAGCUUGUGAGAAAAA
rnacentral:rRNA from 1 species